rnacentral:rRNA from 1 species
CCGCUCCUACGGGGCGCAGCAGUGGGGAAUAUUGGGCAAUGGGCGAAAGCCUGACCCAGCAACGCCGCGUGAAGGAAGAAGGCUUUCGGGUCGUAAACUUCUUUUGACAGGGAAGAGCAGAAGACGGUACCUGUCGAAUAAGCCACGGCUAACUACGUGCCAGCAGCCGCGGUAAUACGUAGGUGGCAAGCGUUGUCCGGAUUUACUGGGUGUAAAGGGCGUGUAGCCGGGCUGACAAGUCGGAUGUGAAAUCCGGGGGCUCAACCCCCGAACUGCAUUUGAAACUGUUGGUCUUGAGUAUCGGG